rnacentral:rRNA from 1 species
UACGAAGGGGGCUAGCGUUGCUCGGAAUGACUGGGCGUAAAGGGCGCGUAGGCGGAUGGCACAGUCAGAUGUGAAAUUCCCGGGCUUAACCUGGGGGCUGCAUUUGAUACGUGUUGUCUAGAGUGAGGAAGAGGGUUGUGGAAUUCCCAGUGUAGAGGUGAAAUUCGUAGAUAUUGGGAAGAACACCGGUGGCGAAGGCGGCAACCUGGUCCUUGACUGACGCUGAGGCGCGACAGCGUGGGGAGCAAACAGG